UAGUCCUGGCUUCAAACGAUGUGGGCUUGGUGUCGGCCCCCUACAGAGGGUCGUUGCCGGAGCUAACGUGUUAAGCCCACCGCCUGGGGAUUACGUCCGCAAGGAUGAAACUCAAGGGAAUUGACGGGGGCCCACACAACCGGUGGAGCACGUGGUUUAAUUCGAUGAUAAGCGAAGAACCUUACCAGGGCUUGACCUAGCGGUAGUAGGAUCCUGAAAGGGAAACGACCUCAAGCUUUGCUUGAGGAGCCGUGGCAGGUAUUGCAUGGCUGUCGUCAGCUCGUGUCGUGGGACGUUGGGUUAAGUCCCGUAACGAGCGCAACCCCUGCUCUUAAUUGCCAGCGGGUAAUGCCGGGUACUAUAAGGGGACUGCCGGAGAAUAUCCGGAGGAAGGAGGGGAUGACGUCAAGUCAUUAUGAUCCUUAUGCUCUGGGCGACACACGUGCUACAAUGGGCACUACAAUGAGGAGCAAGUCUGCAAGGACGAGCAAAUCUCAAAAAGGUGCCCCCAGUGCGGAUUGGGGUCUGCAACCCGACCCCAUGAAGAUGGAAUCGGUAGUAAUCGCGGGUCAGCCAUACCGCGGUGAAUAUGUACUUGGGCCUUGUACACACCGCCCGUCACACCAAUCGAGUAGGCGACACCCGAAGUCGACGUAUGUUGCCGAAGGUGUUACCUGCAAGAGGGGUGAAGUCGUAACAAGGUAGCCGUA
rnacentral:rRNA from 1 species